UACGAAGGGUGCUAGCGUUGCUCGGAAUCAUUGGGCGUAAAGCGCACGCAGGCGGCCGGGUAAGUCGGGUGUGAAAGCCCUGGGCUCAACCCAGGAAGUGCACUCGAAACUGCCGGGCUUGAAUAUGGAAGAGGGUCGCGGAAUUCCCGGUGUAGAAGUGAAAUUCGUAGAUAUCGGGAGGAACACCAGUGGCGAAGGCGGCGACCUGGGCCAAUAUUGACGCUGAGGUGCGAAAGCGUGGGGAGCAAACAGG
rnacentral:rRNA from 1 species